rnacentral:rRNA from 1 species
UACGGGAGGCAGCAGUGGGGAAUAUUGCACAAUGGGCGCAAGCCUGAUGCAGCCAUGCCGCGUGUAUGAAGAAGGCCUUCGGGUUGUAAAGUACUUUCAGCAGUGAGGAAGGUGGGUAUGUUAAUAGCAUACUCAUUUGACGUUAGCUGCAGAAGAAGCACCGGCUAACUCCGUGCCAGCAGCCGCGGUAAUACGGAGGGUGCGAGCGUUAAUCGGAAUUACUGGGCGUAAAGCGCAUGCAGGUGGUUUGUUAAGUCAGAUGUGAAAGCCCGGGGCUCAACCUCGGAAUUGCAUUUGAAACUGGCAAACUAGAGUACUGUAGAGGGGGUAGAAUUUCAGGUGUAGCGGUGAAAUGCGUAGAGAUCUGAAGGAAUACCGGUGGCGAAGGCGGCCCCCUGGACAGAUACUGACACUCAGAUGCGAAAGCGUGGGGAGCAAACAGGAUUAGAUACCCUGGCAG